GACGAAACUGACGCGAUUGACGCGGGCGC
rnacentral:sRNA from 1 species